rnacentral:rRNA from 1 species
GGGUAAGGAGGCGAACCGGGGGAACUGAAACAUCUAAGUACCCCGAGGAAAAGAAAUCAACCGAGAUUCCGAAAGUAGCGGCGAGCGAAAUUGGACUAGCCCUUAAGCUUUACACGCGUUAGACGAACGGUCUGGAAAGUCCGACGAUACAGGGUGAUAGUCCCGUAGUUGACGACGUGUGUUCAGUGAAAUCGAGUAGGGCGGGACACGUGAUAUCCUGUCUGAAUAUGGGGGGACCAUCCUCCAAGGCUAAAUACUACUGACUGACCGAUAGUGAACCAGUACCGUGAGGGAAAGGCGAAAAGAACCCCUGUGAGGGGAGUGAAAUAGAACCUGAAACCGUGUACGUACAAGCAGUAGGAGCAGGCUUUGUCCUGUGACUGCGUACCUUUUGUAUAAUGGGUCAGCGACUUAUAUUCAGUGGCAAGGUUAACCAUCUAGGGGAGCCGUAGGGAAACCGAGUCUUAACUGGGCGUUCAGUCUCUGGAUAUAGACCCGAAACCAGGUGAUCUAGCCAUGGGCAGGUUGAAGGUUGAGUAACAUCAACUGGAGGACCGAACCGACUAAUGUUGAAAAAUUAGCGGAUGACUUGUGGCUAGGGGUGAAAGGCCAAUCAAACCUGGAGAUAGCUGGUUCUCCCCGAAAGCUAUUUAGGUAGCGCCUCGGACGAAUACUACUGGGGGUAGAGCACUGUUAAGGCUAGGGGGUCAUCCCGACUUACCAACCCUUUGCAAACUCCGAAUACCAGUAAGUACUAUCCGGGAGACACACGGCGGGUGCUAACGUCCGUCGUGGAGAGGGAAACAACCCAGACCGCCAGCUAAGGUCCCAAAUUACUACUAAGUGGGAAACGAUGUGGGAAGGCUCAGACAGCCAGGAUGUUGGCUUAGAAGCAGCCAUCAUUUAAAGAAAGCGUAAUAGCUCACUGGUCGAGUCGGCCUGCGCGGAAGAUGUAACGGGGCUAAGUAGUAAACCGAAGCUGCGGCAAUGUGCUUUUGCACAUUGGGUAGGGGAGCGUUCUGUAAGCGGUUGAAGGUGUGUGGUAACGCAUGCUGGACGUAUCAGAAGUGCGAAUGCUGACAUGAGUAACGAUAAAGGGGGUGAAAAACCUCCUCGCCGGAAGACCAAGGGUUCCUGUCCAACGUUAAUCGGGGCAGGGUAAGUCGACCCCUAAGGCGAGGCCGAAAGGCGUAGUCGAUGGGAAACGGGUUAAUAUUCCCGUACUUCUUACAAUUGCGAUGGGGGGACGGAGAAGGCUAGGUGGGCCUGGCGACGGUUGUCCAGGUUCAAGUGCGUAGGCUUAAGAGUUAGGUAAAUCCGGCUCUUUUUAA